UGGGGAAUAUUGGACAAUGGGCGCAAGCCUGAUCCAGCCAUGCCGCGUGAGUGAUGAAGGCCUUAGGGUUGUAAAGCUCUUUCGCCGGUGAAGAUAAUGACGGUAACCGGAGAAGAAGCCCCGGCUAACUUCGUGCCAGCAGCCGCGGUAAUACGAAGGGGGCUAGCGUUGCUCGGAAUCACUGGGCGUAAAGCGCACGUAGGCGGAUCGUUAAGUCAGGGGUGAAAUCCUGGAGCUCAACUCCAGAACUGCCCUUGAUACUGGCGAUCUCGAGUCCGAGAGAGGUUGGUGGAACUCCGAGUGUAGAGGUGAAAUUCGUAGAUAUUCGGAAGAACACCAGUGGCGAAGGCGGCCAACUGGCUCGAUACUGACGCUGAGGUGCGAAAGCGUGGGGAGCAAAACAGGAUUAGAUACCCUGGUAGUCCACGCCGUAAACGAUGGAUGCUAGCCGUUGGGGGGUUUACCUCUCAGUGGCGCAGCUAACGCCUUAAGCAUCCCGCCUGGGGAGUACGGUCGCAAGAUUAAAACUCAAAGGAAUUGACGGGGUCAUAGCUGUUUCCU
rnacentral:rRNA from 1 species